AGGGCCCAGCUCUGAAGUCGGAGGACAGUCAUGGUUCUAAUGCUCUCACUCAAGUCCAGGCCAGAGGUGAGGAAGAAAACGAGGAAGGAUGAAGGAAUAUUUCAGAAAUGGAAUUGGUGAGAUUUGGAGCAUCAUAAGGAACAGUAAGUGGCCUGUGCUGGUGGAUGGGAGAGGAGGAGGAAGCAGCUGCCAUCCUGUAUUUUCUGAAAGGUUUGAAGAAAAGGCAGCCAAGUUCACAUUUUGCUGAAGUCACAUCACUGAUCACUGUCCAGCCAUCCUAACCUAUCCGCUGCUGAGCUGGCUGCCAGCAGAUCUUUCCAGCAGCCCCGGGCAAGCACACACACAUAAGAGAGAAGCCUGAGUUUUAUGGUUUAGCAUCCAUGUCACCCAUAAGAAAUGCUUGUUCUGACUUUAGUCUCAGCACUAAGGAGGAAACAAUCACUCAAAUGCCAGGUUUCCCUUUGCACUGGAGGCCUGAGGAAGUCAAUAAGAAAGAAAGUCAAUAAGGUAGCCAAUAAGAAAACCUGGGCACCAUGGCAGGCACCUGUGGUCCUAUGGCCCCAGCACUUGGGGAGGCCAAGGCAAGAGGGUUGCUUGAGGCCAGGAGUUUGAGGCUGCAGGGAGCUAUGAUUGUGCCACUGCACUCCAGUCUGGGCAAUGUAGCAAGAUCCCAUCUCAAAAA
rnacentral:lncRNA from 10 species